UCCACUCCUCCACGGCUCCACCGCCCCGUACACCCAGAGGGCGGGCACCUCGUCUCGCUUGUUGGCCGCGUGGUACGGCACGAGCGCUGGGGCCCCAUGCUCGUCGUUUGGUCGUGGAAGAACUCCGCCUUGCAACGCCGCGCCGUUGCUGGGUGGGGACUGGGGACGCGCUGGUCGCCGGGGAUGGCUGCGGCUUCGGCGCUUAACGGUAUCGGGAUCUUCCUUCUUUGCUGUUGCCGACUAGGAGUGCUCAGAUUUGAUACGCUGUAGGGCCAGUGCUGCUGCAAAAUUGCUGUUUGGGGGUGUAUUGAACUGAUUCGAUUAGUAUCGAGCCGUCGUUACCUCUUAGCUGUGAUUUCAUCUUGCUUCGUUACUGUACUUGCUGUGCGAACUUUUACGGAUCCAGUUUAGCUUUUUAGUAUUUCUUUUGAAAUUAGCAACUUAAUCUGCUUGGUGGUUCUUAUUUGUUUGCUUGUUAGUGAGCCAAUAUCUAAUUUUAGGUCUGGGUCAGCAACGACUUGGGAGUCGAUAUUGGAUAAACGGGAAUCAAGCUCUCUAAGACAUCUAAUCUUGCUGAUUCAUAGGGGCUCUACUGAUUCAUAUAUUGACCCAGUGGCGAUGUUUCGGCUUGCUGGACAUUUGGAAUCAUCUAGUGCCACUGAUUUGUGACAAGGUCUUGUUAAUGACCUUCUCAUGCCUAUAUUUUCUUGAGUUGAAUCAGCAACCUUUUUGGUGAAGCUUCUCACUGGCAUUUUUUUUUCACGUCGUUGAUGUUUAACAAAGUUGCCUUAAAAUAGGACAUUCCACAAAUUUCUUGAAUCAAGAUGAUGCUGUUAAUUAUUCUUGAUGGAUAUCAUGAUGAUGUGGUUAUCAUUGAAAAGAACCCGAUCAGGAUUUUAGCAAAACCAUUUCAGCUACAAACUUCAUUGGCAAGAAAGGCGAUCACUAUUCUUUGAACUUUGGAGUAGUCACUGCCGCCGUAGUAUUGUUUACAAGUAAGUUUCCUUGCUUUUCAGUUUUUAGGCAUACAAAAUGUCAUUCCUUCGACUCCUCAGCAAUUGAAGACCAUUUUGAUUUCUCUCACUGAAGACUUCAGUUAACUAUAAUAUUAUGAUGGACUUGCCUCUCCUUGCUACGCAUACAAGGUUCUGAGUAACCCUAAUAUAUUAUUGUUUAGAUUGUAAUAAGCAAGCAAUGUACUUUAAAUAUGUGUAUUUUGCGCUUGACAAGGAGUCAGUAACACUCACACUAACGAGAUUUGCUACCAAAUAAUUAACACUAAUGUUUAGCUUAGCCUGUUGGUGGUAGCAAUUGUGCAACAGUUGUGGUAUUGUUGUGCCAUGAGUAUCCUAUGUUAAUGAGAGGAGUAACAUGUGUUCCAACUCAUGUAACAGGUUCUCCGCGAUUUUGAUUCUGAUCAAGUAAAGAAUGCCUUGUAGAUAUAAAUAGCACUCAGGAUUCCUUAAGCAUUUUUUAAUGUAGGAAGGCUAACAAUUACAGCUACUAUUGCUUCAGAUCCAUUAUUAGGAAUAGAAGUGUCGCGUUACAAGGACUAUUUUCAUCGGAAAGUGUAAAUUUAUUAUUAGCAAAAUGCGAGAUGCAGUAUAAAUUUGAAUGUUAUGGUUUGUUUACUGAUUUUCUUACAUUAUUUUAUCAAAUGCAACCUUUUGAUAUGAAAAUCCUAAAUUCUAUCUAUGAUGAUCUCUGGACAACUGAAAAAAAAUUGUAGCCAUGAACUACCAUGAAGCAUAGGCUCAACUCUAGAACCAGGAUAUAUCUUCUGAUGUUGAAAAAUUGAUUAUGCCUAGCCUAACAAAAUUGCACACGCUAGUUUCAUUCAAGAAAAUGAGCUGCUGUUACAUCCUGCCUAUAUAUGACAUACAUCAGUUUCAAGAAUGUUGAAAAAUUGAUUACACCUAAGUACCUAACCAAACCACAUGGACCUGUUUCAUUCAAGAAGACAAUCUGUUGUUACAUCCUGCCUAUAUGUGACAUUACAACAAAAAAUGUAUUGUGUAGAUACUCCCUCCAUCCGGUUCCUCUCUACACAACUCUGGCUUGAUUUAUCAUCUCUUAAUUCCAGAAGCCAUUUCAGCUAUCUUCUUCAUUUUUUCUCUCAGGGCUAUCUUCUUCACUUUUUCUCUCAUGGCUAUCUUCUUCAUUUUUUCUCUCAUGGCUAUCUUCUUCAUUUUGCUGUAAUUGUUCUUUACCUCCUUCAGUUUCGUUUUGAUUAGUUUCUAUGUCUAUGUUUGGAACUGUUAUGGGCAGAGGAUCUUUGAUGUCAUCUGGAGGAUCAUAGUUUGGAUCAGCAAGAAAUGUAAGGGCGGUCACAACAUCACUGAUCAGUGGCCGACUGCUUGCUUCUUCUUGUAAGCACAUUGAUGAGAUUGCAAGUGCCUGGUAUAGACCUUUCAGAGGAAACUUCCUGUCAAGCAAUGG
rnacentral:lncRNA from 1 species